rnacentral:rRNA from 1 species
GACGAACGCUGGCGGCGUGCCUAAUACAUGCAAGUUGAGCGCUGAAGGUUGGUACUUGUACCAACUGGAUGAGCAGCGAACGGGUGAGUAACGCGUGGGGAAUCUGCCUUUGAGCGGGGGACAACAUUUGGAAACGAAUGCUAAUACCGCAUAAAAACUUUAAACACAAGUUUUAAGUUUGAAAGAUGCAAUUGCAUCACUCAAAGAUGAUCCCGCGUUGUAUUAGCUAGGUGGUGAGGUAAAGGCCCACCAAGGCGAUGAUACAUAGCCGACCUGAGAGGGUGAUCGGCCACAUUGGGACUGAGACACGGCCCAAACUCCUACGGGAGGCAGCAGUAGGGAAUCUUCGGCAAUGGACGAAAGUCUGAACGAGCAACGCCGCGUGAGUGAAGAAGGGUUUCGGAUCGUAAAACUCUGUUGGUAGAGAAGAACGUUGGUGAGAGUGGAAAGCUCAUCAAGUGACGGUAACUACCCAGAAAGGGACGGCUAACUACGUG